AGAAGUGAGCAUGGAUAGCCAUGAAAGAGAAAUACCAUGUUUACCUGUCUGCUAACUCCAUAACAAUGAUGAUAUGCAUCGAAACUGAGCAUCCAUUUCAUCAAUUGUUUCACUGUUGUUUUCACUCUCAAAAAAGGUAAAUCGGAUAGCUCAUGUACUUUGAUAAGAUCUAAUCUUUUUCUAUACUAAAUUUUUCUUCUUUCAAUUUACAGAUAUGCUAAUCACAUGCUAAUUCAUGGACAGCUAAAUCCCAACUGUACUUUGAACCUUUCAGUCUUUUGGAGCUAAGAACUGAAAAUUCAUCUUUUCUUCUUUUUAACCUUACCGUUACAGAAGAGUGAACCAAACCCAAAAAAAC
rnacentral:lncRNA from 1 species